UAGGGAAUCUUCCACAAUGGACGCAAGUCUGAUGGAGCAACGCCGCGUGAGUGAAGAAGGUUUUCGGACCGUAAAGCUCUGUUGUUGGUGAAGAAGGAUAGAGGUAGUAACUGGCCUUUAUUUGACGGUAAUCAACCAGAAAGUCACGGCUAACUACGUGCCAGCAGCCGCGGUAAUACGUAGGUGGCAAGCGUUGUCCGGAUUUAUUGGGCGUAAAGCGAGCGCAGGCGGAAGAAUAAGUCUGAUGUGAAAGCCCUCGGCUUAACCGAGGAAUUGCAUCGGAAACUGUUUUCUUGAGUGCAGAAGAGGAGAGUAGAACUCCAUGUGUAGCGGUGGAAUGCGUAGAUAUAUGGAAGAAUACCAGUGGCGAAGGCGGCUCUCUGGUCUGCAACUGACGCUGAGGCUCGAAAGCAUGGGUAGCGAACAGGAUUAGAUACCCUGGUAGUCCAUGCCGUAAAACGAUGAGUGCUAAGUGUUG
rnacentral:rRNA from 1 species